CUACGGGGCGCACCAGUAGGGAAUCUUAGACAAUGGGGGAAACCCUGAUCUAGCCAUGCCGCGUGAGUGAUGACGGCCUUAGGGUUGUAAAGCUCUUUCGCUGGGGAAGAUAAUGACGGUACCCAGUAAAGAAACCCCGGCUAACUCCGUGCCAGCAGCCGCGGUAAUACGGAGGGGGUUAGCGUUGUUCGGAAUUACUGGGCGUAAAGCGCGCGUAGGCGGACUAUUAAGUCAGGGGUGAAAUCCCGGGGCUCAACCCCGGAACUGCCUUUGAUACUGGUAGUCUUGAGUUCGAGAGAGGUGAGUGGAAUUCCGAGUGUAGAGGUGAAAUUCGUAGAUAUUCGGAGGAACAUCAGUGGCGAAGGCGACUCACUGGCUCGAUACUGACGCUGAGGUGCGAAAGUGUGGGGAGCAAACAGGAUUAGAUACCCCAGUAGUC
rnacentral:rRNA from 1 species